rnacentral:rRNA from 1 species
GACGAACGCUGGCGGCGUGCUUAACACAUGCAAGUCGAACGGAAAGGCCCUGCUUUUGUGGGGUGCUCGAGUGGCGAACGGGUGAGUAACACGUGAGUAACCUGCCCUUGACUUUGGGAUAACUUCAGGAAACUGGGGCUAAUACCGGAUAGGAGCUCCUGCUGCAUGGUGGGGGUUGGAAAGUUUCGGCGGUUGGGGAUGGACUCGCGGCUUAUCAGCUUGUUGGUGGGGUAGUGGCUUACCAAGGUUUUGACGGGUAGCCGGCCUGAGAGGGUGACCGGCCACAUUGGGACUGAGAUACGGCCCAGACUCCUACGGGAGGCAGCAGUGGGGAAUAUUGCACAAUGGGCGGAAGCCGGAUGCAGCAACGCCGCGUGCGGGAUGACGGCCUUCGGGUUGUAACCCGCUUUCGCCUGUGACGAAGCGUGAGUGACGGUAAUGGGUAAAGAAGCACCGGCUAACUACGUG